rnacentral:rRNA from 1 species
GAUGAACGCCGGCAGCGUGCCUAAUACAUGCAAGUCGAGCGAACGGACGAGAAGCUUGCUUUUCUGAUGUUAGCGGCGGACGGGUGAGUAACACGUGGAUAACCUACCUAUAAGACUGGGAUAACUUCGGGAAACCGGAGCUAAUACCGGAUAAUAUUUUGAACCGCAUGGUUCAAAAGUGAAAGACGGUCUUGCUGUCACUUAUAGAUGGAUCCGCGCUGCAUUAGCUAGUUGGUAAGGUAACGGCUUACCAAGGCAACGAUGCAUAGCCGACCUGAGAGGGUGAUCGGCCACACUGGAACUGAGACACGGUCCAGACUCCUACGGGAGGCAGCAGUAGGGAAUCUUCCGCAAUGGGCGAAAGCCUGACGGAGCAACGCCGCGUGAGUGAUGAAGGUCUUCGGAUCGUAAAACUCUGUUAUUAGGGAAGAACGUAUGUGUAAGUAACUGUGCACAUCUUGACGGUACCUAAUCAGAAAGCCACGGCUAACUACGUG